rnacentral:rRNA from 1 species
UACGUAGGGUGCGAGCGUUGUCCGGAAUUACUGGGCGUAAAGAGCUCGUAGGUGGUUUGUCGCGUUGUUCGUGAAAACUCACAACUCAAUUGUGGGCGUGCGGGCGAUACGGGCAGACUGGAGUACUGCAGGGGAGACUGGAACUCCUGGUGUAGCGGUGGAAUGCGCAGAUAUCAGGAGGAACACCGGUGGCGAAGGCGGGUCUCUGGACAGUUCCUGACGCUGAGGCACGAAGGCCAGGGGAGCAAACGGG